UACAGAGACCUCAAGCGUUAUCCGGAAUCAUUGGGCGUAAAGCGUACCGAUAGGUGGUUUAGAAAGUCAGAAGUGAAAUCUUAAAGCUCAACUUUGAGACUGUCUUUUGAAACUUCUAAACUAGAGGGGCAAAGAGGAAGCUGGAACGAACGGUGUAGUAGUGAAAUGCGUUGAUAUCGUUCGGAACACCAAUAGCGUAGGCAGGCUUCUGGGUGCCACCUGACACUGCUAGGACGAAAGCGUGGGGAGCGAAUGGG
rnacentral:rRNA from 1 species